GAUGAAAGAAACUCGUACAGGUUUGGAUCAACUUGAGGGGAGGAAAUAAAAUGAGCCUGUCGCCCCCAUGGAAUCAUACAUUCUUGGAUGUGAAUGUGAAUUGUAUGGUUGAGGUGUAUGAAGAAACUGGAGGUGGAGCUCUGAAGAAUUCCAGCUAAAAGUGUCUCACUGUCCACAUGUGCAAACAAGAACCUCUGGACACCCGGACUCUCCCGAAACCAGCCAACAGGUGAGGAAUGCUGUGUAAGACUAUCAGGUGCAGCAGGGCGCGUGGCGGCAUGCUAACAACAGAUAACCUGCUCCUCUGCAACCAUGCGCAAAUGGCCGUCGAUUGCCAAACUUUCUUGAGUAUGAUCUGAAACGAACACUGACAAAUGGGUUAUCAUGAACGAGGGAGGGUUGUUGCUUCAUAAUGGAGUUAAAAGAAGAGAUUUGAAGAAGAAAACAAAGCAUUGCUUUGGACUGAGCGUGCUGCUUGAGUCAGAGUAUAACUGGGUGGAGGAGGUUGAUAACUGUAGCCUGGGGGGAUGAAAAUCCUGCCUCACGCUUUCUUUCUCUUGUUCGCUUCUUGCUUCCUUCACCCCACCCUUCUCUGGUGAAAAUCUGUAUGAGGUCAAGAAGAGGCACAAUUUUUGGUUGCUUUUUCAUUUUAUGGUACAUGCACUUUAUGUGUACUUAAGUACUGGUUAAUAUAAGCUAACACUCUAAAAACUAAAAAAAUCCUGGGUUGUUUUAGCCCAAUUUUGGGUAAAA